rnacentral:misc_RNA from 1 species
ACGCCUCAACCCUCCAAUGUGUUUUCCAUUGCAGGUGUUGGUAGUGAGCGUUGCCGGUCUUUGGAUCGGCUCGCUUUAAAGUCAUUAGCUGGAUCCAUUCUGACCUGGUUCUACUCUGCGUAACAAGUUAUUAUCGUCGAGGACGCCUGGCCUCGUAGGCAGGGCGGCCACAGUAAGGGUGUUUGAACGGCUUCCAACGCGUCUUGCUCUUGCAGCAAACACUUGAAC